AUUGAACGCUGGCGGCAUGCCUUACACAUGCAAGUCGAACGGUAACAGGUCUUCGGAUGCUGACGAGUGGCGAACGGGUGAGUAAUACAUCGGAACGUGCCCGGUCGUGGGGGAUAACUACUCGAAAGAGUAGCUAAUACCGCAUACGAUCUACGGAUGAAAGCGGGGGAUCUUCGGACCUCGCGCGGACGGAGCGGCCGAUGGCAGAUUAGGUAGUUGGUGGGAUAAAAGCUUACCAAGCCGACGAUCUGUAGCUGGUCUGAGAGGACGACCAGCCACACUGGGACUGAGACACGGCCCAGACUCCUACGGGAGGCAGCAGUGGGGAAUUUUGGACAAUGGGCGAAAGCCUGAUCCAGCAAUGCCGCGUGCAGGAUGAAGGCCUUCGGGUUGUAAACUGCUUUUGUACGGAACGAAAAGACUCCUUCUAAUACAGGGGGUCCAUGACGGUACCGUAAGAAUAAGCACCGGCUAACUACGUGCCAGCAGCCGCGGUAA
rnacentral:rRNA from 1 species